UACGAAGGGGGCUAGCGUUGCUCGGAAUUACUGGGCGUAAAGCGCACGUAGGCGGUUUCUUAAGUCGGGGGUGAAAUCCUGGAGCUCAACUCCAGAACUGCCUUCGAUACUGGGAAACUUGAGUCCGGGAGAGGUGAGUGGAACUGCGAGUGUAGAGGUGAAAUUCGUAGAUAUUCGCAAGAACACCAGUGGCGAAGGCGGCUCACUGGCCCGGAACUGACGCUGAGGUGCGAAAGCGUGGGGAGCAAACAGG
rnacentral:rRNA from 1 species